rnacentral:rRNA from 1 species
AUUGAACGCUGGCGGAAUGCUUUACACAUGCAAGUCGAACGGCAGCACGGACUUCGGUCUGGUGGCGAGUGGCGAACGGGUGAGUAAUGUAUCGGAACGUGCCCAGUCGUGGGGGAUAACGUAGUGAAAAUUACGCUAAUACCGCAUACGAUAUAUGGAUGAAAGCGGGGGAUCGCAAGACCUCGAGCGAUUGGAGCGGCCGAUAUCAGAUUAGGUAGUUGGUGGGGUAAAGGCCCACCAAGCCAACGAUCUGUAGCUGGUCUGAGAGGACGACCAGCCACACUGGAACUGAGACACGGUCCAGACUCCUACGGGAGGCAGCAGUGGGGAAUUUUGGACAAUGGGCGAAAGCCUGAUCCAGCCAUUCCGCGUGCAGGAUGAAGGCCCUCGGGUUGUAAACUGCUUUUGUACAGAACGAAAAGGUUUCUACUAAUACUAGGAGCUCAUGACGGUACUGUAAGAAUAAGCACCGGCUAACUACGUGCCAGCCGCCGCAGUAA